UCUUAAGUAUAUAAAGAAACUAUUAUGGAUAUAAAAGCUAUAUAUCACAGGAAGAGUAUUAGAUUUUAAAAUGUGUAAAAACGUUAAUCUUUUAAUCCUUGGAGAAAUCUUUUAUAUAAACAAAGUGAAUUGAAAUAUCUUAGUAACUUUAGGAAUAUAAAUCAAAUGAGAUUCUGAUAACAUUGAUUUAAUAAAUCGUGCAGAAUAGUCUUUAAAGUAAAAUGGAAACAAUUCUGUUUGAAUGUAGGUAUACCUUUAUCUAAGACUAAAUAUGAUAUAUAAGCAAUAGUGAAAAAGUAGCGUGAGGGAAAUAUUUGAAAUAGUAGUUUUAUAAGCAGCUCGAGUUAAAUAAAUUAUAAGAGCGUACCUUUUGCAUAAUGGGUCAACAAGUUAAUAUUAGAUGCAAGAGUAUAUAAUCUCCUAGAUAAACCAAUUAUUUAAUUAGUGAAUAAGUAUCUAAUAUUAGACCCGAAGCCUAGUGAUCUUACUAUGAUCAGAGUUAUAAAAGCUCGAAUGGUUUAUCGUUGUAAAGAUAUCCAAAGAAUUGUGGUAAGUUAGUGAAAGACAAAACUGACUAGGAUAGCUGGUUUUCUACGAAACCUAUUUAAGUAGGUGACUUGAAUUACAUUAUAGUAGGUACAGAAUUGUGAUAUCAGGUAGAUUUAAACUUUAAAAGUUAAUUUACAUAUAUUGGGGGGUCGUGAAGACUCUAUCAGUGAUGAUUUGCUCUCGGAAAGACAAUAAUGGAUUUCAAGCUGUCGGACAUAGUACGAUAAGGUUGUAUGUCUAAAGGGAAACAGCCCAGAACAAGAAUUAAAAGUUCUAAAAUUGUUACUAAGUGAAAUAAAGGAAGUAUUUUUCAGAUACAAUCAGGAAAUAGGCUUAGAAGCGGUCAUUUUUUAAAGAUCUCGUAACAGAGCACUGGUUAAUUUAAGUUAAAAGCAUUAAAGAUUUAUAGGAUCUAAGUAACAUACUUAUAUCUUGUUUAUAAGUAAAUAAUUAUUUAUUUACUUGUAGGGUAGUAGAACAUUGAGUAUAUUUUCUAUUAAAAGAAUUUUUCUUUUAUUAUCUUUUUAUAUUAAAUUUUUAAAUUUAUAUAAUGCAAAACUAUCUCAAGAGAUAAUGUUGACAUGAGUAACGAAAAAGGGACAUCCCCUCGCCUUAAGCUUAUGGUAUUUAAUAAUUAACGGCCCCUAAAUUUAAUAUCCUAAAGGAUUGAAUGAUGGGAAAAUGACAUUAUAUAGUAUAUAAUGUUCUGGAAAAUAAAAUAAAUAACCGUACCUAAAUACUAUCACAAGUGAGCAAGUAGAGUAUACAAAGGCGUUUGAGUUAACAAUCAUUAAGGAACUCAGCAAAUUAACACCGUAACUUUGGGAUAAGGUGUGCCGUUAUUUAUAUUUUAUAUAAAUAACAGGAGACAUAAAAUAGUGUUGUACGACUGUUUAAUUAAAACAAAGCACUUUGCAUAAGAUAUUAAAUCAAAGUAUUGAGUGUGAUUUCUGCCCGAUGUUGGCCGGCUAACUAAUAUUCUUAAUUUAUAAAAAUUAGGUUUCAUAGGAUACCCCAAUUAAUGGCGGCCUUACCGAUGAGGGUCCUAAGGUAGCGGAAUACCUUGGCCGUUAAAUGCGGUCUUGCAUGAAUGAUUUAACGAUACAACAACUGUCUCAAUGAUUGCCUCAGUGAAAUUGGAAUAACUGUGCAGAUACAGUUUACCUCUAGUUAGACGAGAAGACCCUAUGCAGCUUUACUAUUUGUAGUUAUUAAAUAUGAUUAUACGAGUUGUAGCAUAUAAUGUAAUUGAUAAUUUAAAAUUGAAAUACUUUUACUUGGUAUACCAUAUUAAGUAGUCAUAUUGGUAAUAAUAUCAAUAAAUUUAUAUUUGAUUCAUAUAUUAUGAAUAUAAAAAUAACAAAUAUUUAUCUUUUUAUUUAUAUUAUUUAUAUUGUAAGAUUAAUAUAAAUAAUAUAAAUGAUUGAAUAGGAUUGACUAUAACUAUUCAAAUAUAUAUAUAUAUUCUAUUAAUGAAUAUACUAUAAAAAUAGUGGCUAUUAGAUAGUUUAUGCGGGGCACAGAUCCCAUAAAAAGUACCUGGGUGUAUCCAAAGUUAAUUAUGUAAUUUUAUUUGCAAUAAAUUAAUAUAUAAUAUAUCCGAUAAUUAUUCUAUUAAGUUAGACUGAUAAUUUAAAUUAAGUAAGAUUUUAACUAUAUGGAAAAUAAAUGUUAAUUAAAUAUUAUCUAAUAUUAUUAAUAUUAGUAUUAUUUAUAUUUAUAUUAUUACUUUUUAGAUGUAAUAAGAUGAAUUUGAUAUAACUUAUAAAGUUUAAUGGCUUAAUCUUGCUUUACUGUUUGAUUUACAAAUCUAUCAGUUGCGUAAGCAGGGCAUAUGAUCACAAGAUUCAGAAAGGAAAGGUCUUGGAUUUUUGAAAAAGUUACGCUAGGGAUAACAGGCUAAUUGCGCCAGAGAGUACAAAUUGAGUGCGCAGUUUGGCACCUCGAUGUCGGCUUAGCCUAUCCACAUGAAUGCAGAAGUCAUGAAGGGUUCGACUGUUCGUCGAUUAAAAGGCUACAUGAGCUGGGUUAAAUACGUCGUGAGACAGUAUGGUUUCUAUCUUCUAGAGGAAAUUAGAAUAAAAUAAAAAUAGCCUCUUCGUACGAAAGGAGUUGAGUAUGCUAACCUAUGAUUUAUCUGUUGUUUAUUUGCCAUUUUUAACAAUGUUUUAUUUAUAUCCACUAGGUAGAUUGUAAUAAUCUAAGCUAGUUGUGGCUUGGUUAAUUCAAGUUAAUUGGAUCUGAUUAAUUAUCAAUACCAAUUAAAUUAAAUAAAAGUGACGCUAAGUAAGUUAACUAACUUAUUUAAAUAAUAGGCACUGCAGAAAAGUUAUGUUAGUUAUAAAUAAAUGCUGAAUGCAUAUAGGCAUGAAUUUUAUUUUAAGAUAUUCUUAAAUAUACGUAAUUUAAUAUUACGAGUUAUUUGUUAACUACUUAUAAUUAUUAGUUAACAAAUAACUAUAUAGGCCUUUACUUUAAUUAUAAUAAUAUAUUCAGGUAAAAGGUACUAAUUUUAUUAAUAACUAAAUAUU
rfam:Genlisea aurea contig_16144, whole genome shotgun sequence.